UAAUUAUAGGGUUAAAAAUGGACAAAAAUCACAACUUUAUAGGGAAGUACUUGAAUGAAUGAAUUUGAAGACGGCGAGCGAGAAGAAACACAAUCAUCAAUGACAGACGAGCAUCAUCAGAAGUCGGCGGAGCGGCCAUUAAAGAUCCCCAGAUUAGCAUCAGAAGAAGAAGGAAUGAAAAGGGGUGUCCAAAGGUAUCUGAUAGCGAUCGAAUACAACGGAACUCGUUUUUCUGGUGCUCAACAGCAAGCCCCUCAUUGCAGAACUGUUGUUGGUGUUCUUCAGAAUGCAUUUCAUAAGUUUAUCGGUCAGCCCGUUUCCAUUUUCUGCUCCAGCCGUACUGAUGCAGGUGUACAUGCAUUAGCAAAUGUCUGUCAUGUAGAUGUAGAACGUAUAAGCAAAAGAAAACCUGGUGAAGUGUUGCCACCUCACGAACCUUCUGUAGUCAAGAAAGCUGUCAACCAUUUCUUACAGAAGAAUGAAGGUGAUAUAAUGAUUACUGAUGUUCGAUGUGUUGCGGCUGACUUUCAUGCUAGAUAUAAAGCUCAAGAGCGAACUUACCAUUAUCGAUUGCUAUCAGGUCCAGAGUCAUUAUCGACCUUUGAGAAAGAUCGGGCAUGGCAUGUACCCGAGGAACUUGAUCUUUCAGCAAUGCAGAAAGCUUGUAAAGUUCUUGAGGGACUACAUGAUUUCAGUUCCUUCCGAGCUUCUGGCUGUCAGGCAAAAUCACCAAUCAGAAGCUUGGAUGAACUUAAUGUUAUCGAGGUUUUGCCAUCUCCAUGUUUCCCAUUAGCAAGGGAGAGGGAAACACAAAAUCCCGUGAAGGAAGAUCUUUCUGUUUGCUCUGCGUCUACUGAUGAGGCAAGUUUUGAAUUUGGCUUGAGGAGAAGGCAUCGUAGUUUUGUGGUUACUGCACGUGCACGUUCUUUUCUUUACCAUCAGGUGAGAUUUCUUGUUGGUGCUAUAAAAUCUGUGGGCACCGGAGAUCUAACAGUUUCUGAUGUUGAACGCAUCCUGGAAGCUAAAACAGUAACUGCUAAUGGUCCAUUGGCUCCUGCUUGUGGUCUGUACCUUGCACACGUCAAAUAUGAUCUCCCAUGAUCGCUUCAGGAGUCUACAAACCACCUUCAAGGAGAGGAUUUCUUUUGUGAUUCAAUGAAAUCGUCCCACUGGAAAGCUGCAGCUCAAUGUGAGUGUUUGAGGUUUCGUAAACUAAUCCGACAAGAAAAAAGAUAACGGAGAGUACUAGAGAAGUAUUCUAUUAAAUUGAAGUGUUGCUUAGCAGAUCAAUGUAGUUUAAUAGAUUUUUACUAGAGUAUUCAAUAAUUCGAAAAGUGGGGUUGGUUUGUAUGUUAAAAA